rnacentral:tRNA from 1 species
GCCCGGUUAUUUUAAUGGUAGAAUGAAUCUUUUACACGGAUUCGGCAAUAGUUCGAUUCUAUUACUGGGUA